UACGUAGGGUGCGAGCGUUAAUCGGAAUUACUGGGCGUAAAGCGUGCGCAGGCGGUUCGUUGUGUCGGCGGUGAAAGCCCCGGGCUUAACCUGGGAAUGGCCGUUGAAACUGGCGAACUGGAGUGUGGCAGAGGGGGGUGGAAUUCCGCGUGUAGCAGUGAAAUGCGUAGAUAUGCGGAGGAACACCGAUGGCGAAGGCAAUCCCCUGGGCCUGCACUGACGCUCAUGCACGAAAGCGUGGGGAGCGAACAGG
rnacentral:rRNA from 1 species